AACUCCCAACCCAAUGUGAACGUUACCAAACUGUUGCCUCGGCGGGGUCACGCCCCGGGUGCGUCGCAGCCCCGGAACCAGGCGCCCGCCGGAGGAACCAACCAAACUCUUUCUGUAGUCCCCUCGCGGACGUAUUUCUUACAGCUCUGAGCAAAAAUUCAAAAUGAAUCAAAACUUUCAACAACGGAUCUCUUGGUUCUGGCAUCGAUGAAGAACGCAGCGAAAUGCGAUAAGUAAUGUGAAUUGCAGAAUUCAGUGAAUCAUCGAAUCUUUGAACGCACAUUGCGCCCGCCAGUAUUCUGGCGGGCAUGCCUGUCCGAGCGUCAUUUCAACCCUCGAACCCCUCCGGGGGAUCGGCGUUGGGGAUCGGGACCCCUCACACGGGUGCCGGCCCCGAAAUACAGUGGCGGUCUCGCCGCAGCCUCUCCUGCGCAGUAGUUUGCACAACUCGCACCGGGAGCGCGGCGCGUCCACGUCCGUAAAACACCCAACUUUCUGAAAUGUUGACCUCGGAUCAGGUAGGAAUACCCGCUGAACUUAAGCAUAUCAAUAAGCCGGAGGAA
rnacentral:rRNA from 1 species